GCGCCGAUAGUUCAGUGGUAGAAUUCUUGCCUUCCAAGCAAGAGGCGCGGGUUCGAUUCCCGUUCGGCGCA
rnacentral:tRNA from 1 species